UCUUCGAGAGUUUGAGACGUCAUCACGUCAAGCAGUCCUCUGACUCCUCUCAUCUCUUCGCGACUUCGCGUCCACUGGUCCUCCCAUAUUUUGCACAGAUCGGAAAUAUCAGAGUAUCAGGUGAUUCAGGUCCGCCUUUUCUUCUCCAAUCUCCACCUCUCCCUUCCAUUGCUCGAUCUAAUGCCCAACUGCCCAACAGCCCAAGAUUUGCAGAGAUUCUUGGCUUCUUGCAGAGUUGCAUACUGGAGUGACCGAAGAGUUGGCUGAUUGGCUGGGUUUCUGGAAGAGUUCUGGACUUCUGGCCCUCCAUCACUCCAUGGCUCCAUGAAUUGCUGAAGUGCUGAACUGUACAAAGAAGGGGAGGCUGGGGAGCUAUUUGAUAUUUUGAU